GAGCCCAGGGAGGCAGGAAGCUUUUGUGGUUACCGUUUUAUAAGGGAGGAAGCUGAGGCUCAGGUUGUCUAGCUCAAGGGCCCGGAGGUCUAGGUGGACCCCUGCACAUCCCUGAGUAUUGCGCCCUGGUGGGAGCUGGUCCGCCAGGCUGCGCAGGCCCCACGCUGUGUAGCUGUCACCUGGACCCCGAGGCUGACAGCUGCCCUGCCUCCUGGAGCUCAGGCCUGGCGUGUACUCAGGAAACAACUGUCGCCAGGACUGUUCAGGGAGUGCUUGAGGAGGAUGAAAAUGGGGUUUGAGGCCCAGACACUCUGGGGGUGGCUGUUGUAGGUCUAGGGUACCCCACUGUGGAACCCAGCCUGCCCCUGUCCUCAACUGUCCCCCAUCCCUCCCUGAGCCCAGAACUGGAAGAAGUUCGGGAACUCAGAGUUUGACCCCCCCGGACCCAAUGUGGCCACCACCACUGUCAGUGACGAUGUCUCUAUGACGUUCAUCACCAGCAAAGAGGACCUGAACUGCCAGGAGGAGGAGGACCCCAUGAACAAACUCAAGGGUCAGAAGAUCGUGUCCUGCCGCAUCUGCAAGGGCGACCACUG
rnacentral:sRNA from 1 species